rnacentral:rRNA from 1 species
GACGAACGCUGGCGGCGUGCUUAACACAUGCAAGUCGAACGGAAAGGCCCUGCUUUUGUGGGGUGCUCGAGUGGCGAACGGGUGAGUAACACGUGAGUAACCUGCCCUUGACUUUGGGAUAACUUCAGGAAACUGGGGCUAAUACCGGAUAGGAGCUCCUGCUGCAUGGUGGGGGUUGGAAAGUUUCGGCGGUUGGGGAUGGACUCGCGGCUUAUCAGCUUGUUGGUGGGGUAGUGGCUUACCAAGGCUUUGACGGGUAGCCGGCCUGAGAGGGUGACCGGCCACAUUGGGACUGAGAUACGGCCCAGACUCCUACGGGAGGCAGCAGUGGGGAAUAUUGCCCAAUGGGCGGAAGCCUGAUGCGGAAACGCCGCGUGCGGGAUGACGGCCUUCGGGUUGUAAACCGCUUUCGCCUGUGACGAAGCGUGAGUGACGGUAAUGGGUAAAGAAGCACCGGCUAACUACGUG